rnacentral:rRNA from 1 species
UAAGGGCGCACGGUGGAUGCCUUGGCACUAGAAGCCGAUGAAGGACGUUACUAACGACGAUAUGCUUUGGGGAGCUGUAAGUAAGCUUUGAUCCAGAGAUUUCCGAAUGGGGAAACCCAGCAUGAGUUAUGUCAUGUUAUCGAUAUGUGAAUACAUAGCAUAUCAGAAGGCACACCCGGAGAACUGAAACAUCUUAGUACCCGGAGGAAGAGAAAGAAAAUUCGAUUCCCUUAGUAGCGGCGAGCGAAACGGGAAGAGCCCAAACCAACAAGCUUGCUUGUUGGGGUUGUAGGACACUCUAUACGGAGUUACAAAGGACGACAUUAGACGAAUCAUCUGGAAAGAUGAAUCAAAGAAGGUAAUAAUCCUGUAGUCGAAAAUGUUGUCUCUCUUGAGUGGAUCCUGAGUACGACGGAGCACGUGAAAUUCCGUCGGAAUCUGGGAGGACCAUCUCCUAAGGCUAAAUACUCUCUAGUGACCGAUAGUGAACCAGUACCGUGAGGGAAAGGUGAAAAGCACCCCGGAAGGGGAGUGAAAUAGAACCUGAAACCGUGUGCUUACAAGUAGUCAGAGCCCGUUAAUGGGUGAUGGCGUGCCUUUUGUAGAAUGAACCGGCGAGUUACGAUUUGAUGCAAGGUUAAGCAGUAAAUGUGGAGCCGUAGCGAAAGCGAGUCUGAAUAGGGCGUUUAGUAUUUGGUCGUAGACCCGAAACCAGGUGAUCUACCCUUGGUCAGGUUGAAGUUCAGGUAACACUGAAUGGAGGACCGAACCGACUUACGUUGAAAAGUGAGCGGAUGAACUGAGGGUAGCGGAGAAAUUCCAAUCGAACCUGGAGAUAGCUGGUUCUCUCCGAAAUAGCUUUAGGGCUAGCCUCAAGUGAUGAUUAUUGGAGGUAGAGCACUGUUUGGACGAGGGGCCCCUCUCGGGUUACCGAAUUCAGACAAACUCCGAAUGCCAAUUAAUUUAACUUGGGAGUCAGAACAUGGGUGAUAAGGUCCGUGUUCGAAAGGGAAACAGCCCAGACCACCAGCUAAGGUCCCAAAAUAUAUGUUAAGUGGAAAAGGAUGUGGCGUUGCCCAGACAACUAGGAUGUUGGCUUAGAAGCAGCCAUCAUUUAAAGAGUGCGUAAUAGCUCACUAGUCGAGUGACACUGCGCCGAAAAUGUACCGGGGCUAAACAUAUUACCGAAGCUGUGGAUUGUCCUUUGGACAAUGGUAGGAGAGCGUUCUAAGGGCGUUGAAGCAUGAUCGUAAGGACAUGUGGAGCGCUUAGAAGUGAGAAUGCCGGUGUGAGUAGCGAAAGACGGGUGAGAAUCCCGUCCACCGAUUGACUAAGGUUUCCAGAGGAAGGCUCGUCCGCUCUGGGUUAGUCGGGUCCUAAGCUGAGGCCGACAGGCGUAGGCGAUGGAUAACAGGUUGAUAUUCCUGUACCACCUAUAAUCGUUUUAAUCGAUGGGGGGACGCAGUAGGAUAGGCGAAGCGUGCGAUUGGAUUGCACGUCUAAGCAGUAAGGCUGAGUAUUAGGCAAAUCCGGUACUCAUUAAGGCUGAGCUGUGAUGGGGAGAAGACAUUGUGUCUUCGAGUCGUUGAUUUCACACUGCCGAGAAAAGCCUCUAGAUAGAAAAUAGGUGCCCGUACCGCAAACCGACACAGGUAGUCAAGAUGAGAAUUCUAAGGUGAGCGAGCGAACUCUCGUUAAGGAACUCGGCAAAAUGACCCCGUAACUUCGGGAGAAGGGGUGCUCUUUAGGGUUAACGCCCAGAAGAGCCGCAGUGAAUAGGCCCAAGCGACUGUUUAUCAAAAACACAGGUCUCUGCUAAACCGUAAGGUGAUGUAUAGGGGCUGACGCCUGCCCGGUGCUGGAAGGUUAAGAGGAGUGGUUAGCUUCUGCGAAGCUACGAAUCGAAGCCCCAGUAAACGGCGGCCGUAACUAUAACGGUCCUAAGGUAGCGAAAUUCCUUGUCGGGUAAGUUCCGACCCGCACGAAAGGCGUAACGAUUUGGGCACUGUCUCAACGAGAGACUCGGUGAAAUCAUAGUACCUGUGAAGAUGCAGGUUACCCGCGACAGGACGGAAAGACCCCGUGGAGCUUUACUGUAGCCUGAUAUUGAAAUUCGGCACAGCUUGUACAGGAUAGGUAGGAGCCUUUGAAACGUGAGCGCUAGCUUACGUGGAGGCGCUGGUGGGAUACUACCCUAGCUGUGUUGGCUUUCUAACCCGCACCACUUAUCGUGGUGGGAGACAGUGUCAGGCGGGCAGUUUGACUGGGGCGGUCGCCUCCUAAAAGGUAACGGAGGCGCUCAAAGGUUCCCUCAGAAUGGUUGGAAAUCAUUCAUAGAGUGUAAAGGCAUAAGGGAGCUUGACUGCGAGACCUACAAGUCGAGCAGGGUCGAAAGACGGACUUAGUGAUCCGGUGGUUCCGCAUGGAAGGGCCAUCGCUCAACGGAUAAAAGCUACCCCGGGGAUAACAGGCUUAUCUCCCCCAAGAGUUCACAUCGACGGGGAGGUUUGGCACCUCGAUGUCGGCUCAUCGCAUCCUGGGGCUGUAGUCGGUCCCAAGGGUUGGGCUGUUCGCCCAUUAAAGCGGUACGCGAGCUGGGUUCAGAACGUCGUGAGACAGUUCGGUCCCUAUCCGUCGUGGGCGUAGGAAAUUUGAGAGGAGCUGUCCUUAGUACGAGAGGACCGGGAUGGACAUACCUCUGGUGUACCAGUUGUCGUGCCAACGGCAUAGCUGGGUAGCUAUGUGUGGACGGGAUAAGUGCUGAAAGCAUCUAAGCAUGAAGCCCCCCUCAAGAUGAGAUUUCCCAACUUCGGUUAUAAGAUCCCUCAAAGAUGAUGAGGUUAAUAGGUUCGAGGUGGAAGCAUGGUGACAUGUGGAGCUGACGAAUACUAA